UUUUAUUUGAGAGUUUGAUCCUGGCUCAGGAUGAACGCUGGCGGCGUGCCUAACACAUGCAAGUUGAGCGAUUUACUUCGGUAAAGAGCGGCGGACGGGUGAGUAACGCGUGGGUAACCUACCCUGUACACACGGAUAACAUACCGAAAGGUAUGCUAAUACGGGAUAAUAUAUUUG
rnacentral:rRNA from 1 species